UAAUACGUAGGGGGCAAGCGUUGUCCGGAAUCAUUGGGCGUAAAGAGCGUGUAGGCGGCUCGAUAAGUCCGUUCUGAAAGUCCAGGGCUCAACCCUGGGAUGCGGAUGGAUACUGUCGGGCUCGAGUCCGGAAGAGGCGAGUGGAAUUCCCGGUGUAGCGGUGAAAUGCGCAGAUAUCGGGAGGAACACCAAUGGCGAAGGCAGCUCGCUGGGACGUGACUGACGCUGAGACGCGAAAGCGUGGGGAGCAAACAGGAUUAGAUACCCUGGUAGUCCACGCCGUAAACGAUGGACACUAGGUGUGGGAGGUGUCGACUCCUCCCGUGCCGCAGCUAACGCAUUAAGUGUCCCGCCUGGGGAGUACGGCCGCAAGGCUA
rnacentral:rRNA from 1 species